rnacentral:rRNA from 1 species
CCUACGGGUGGCAGCAGUGGGGAAUAUUGGACAAUGGGGGGAACCCUGAUCCAGCCAUGCCGCGUGUGUGAAGAAGGCCCUCGGGUUGUAAAGCACUUUCAGUGAGGAAGAACGCCUGGAGGUUAAUACCCAUCAGGAAAGACAUCACUCACAGAAGAAGCACCGGCUAACUCCGUGCCAGCAGCCGCGGUAAUACGGAGGGUGCGAGCGUUAAUCGGAAUUACUGGGCGUAAAGCGCGCGUAGGUGGCUUGAUAAGCCGGUUGUGAAAGCCCCGGGCUCAACCUGGGAACGGCAUCCGGAACUGUCAAGCUAGAGUGCAGGAGAGGAAGGUAGAAUUCCCGGUGUAGCGGUGAAAUGCGUAGAGAUCGGGAGGAAUACCAGUGGCGAAGGCGGCCUUCUGGACUGACACUGACACUGAGGUGCGAAAGCGUGGGUAGCAAACAGGAUUAGAUACCCGUGUAGUC